GGAAAGAAGAGAUCUGAUUGGUUGCUAUGGGCAACUAAGCAACUUUUCCUUUGCACAGGUUUUAAUAAAUCUCCCCCUAUAUUCUGAUGGGGUCCUUAAUACCUGUAUGUGUUGACACACAUAUACAAAAUACACCCAGUUAAUGGACCUGAUGUUAGUCUAGCCACAUUUCACUAAAUCUCUGGAAAGUCUUGAUGCUUAUGAUCUGAGCACAGACAGAAAUACAGAGAAAGAUGACACCAGUAUAUAGACAACAGAAGAUCUACCAACAAUCACAAUAGCUGAAGCUCAGCCCAUCCCCCUCCCUGAGAAAUAAGCUCUGCACUGCCAGUCUGCAGUGUUCAUAUCCAUGGGGCGUGUUGUAAAGCAUAUCUCUAAGGGUAAUUAAUGUAAAAUGUGAACAACAGCUCCAGAUGGCAUUAGAUUUGAUAACUACAGCGGAGGCAGAUGCACUUGAUACAGUGUAUGGUAAACAACCUUUUCUCAAGAACAAU